GCACGGGUACCCAAGCGGCCAAAGGGGAUAGUCUAAGGACCUAUUGGCUUAGUGCCUUCCCAGGUUCAAAUCCUGGCCCGUGCA
rnacentral:tRNA from 1 species